rnacentral:rRNA from 1 species
GGACCCCAUCGAUUCUAAGGAGUGCCUCCGGUUUGCCACCGAUCCCCUUGCCUUUUCACUUUUACAAGGUCUAGGCUUUGGUUGGCUCUAGGUGUACGACCGGUCAAUCUUCUUGGAGAGGUCAGCAUCAGCUACUUAGAAGGGAUUCCAAGCAAAGAAGGUAGGUUCCUCGUGGACUGCUUUAUAGCUUUGUUUGUCACCCUUCUUUGUGGCUGAGGAGUGUUCCUGAUUCCAAGCUACACUUUCGAGUACUUGGUUUCUGUGAUGCUGGCUUAAACGGUUCCAACCGACCCGUCUUGAAACACGGACCAAGGAGUCUAACAUAUGUGCGAGUAUGCGGGUUGCAAGCCUGUAUGCGCAAUGAAAGUGAGAGUAGGGAGAAGUUGGUUUUCCAUUCUUCACACCUACGACCGACCACGAUCUCAGAGAGAGGUUUGAGUUGGAGCAUAUCUGUUAGGACCCGAAAGAUGGUGAACUAUGCCUGGGGUAGAAUGAAGUCAGGGGAAACCCCUGAUGGAGGUUCGUAGCGAUACUGACGUGCAAAUCGUUCGUCAAACUUGGGUAUAGGG